CAGAGCUACAGCCUCAUCCAGAACUAGAGGUCUACUGGGAUCGAUCCAGUCUGUAUUACACACGGCUGUCAGUCAACCACUACAUCAGAACUAACAGGGGGACGGACAUCGCCAAGGACUAUGUGUGAUAAUAGAACACAGGGAAAAUGAUACGAGGUGUUUUUAGGACAUGGGGAGAAAUCAAACCUGUUACUCAGUUCAGGUAGGCCUCCACGCUGCAGCAGGAAACUAGGAGGGCUGCUUGACAACACUGAGGAAAAUCAAACCUGUUACUCAGUUCAGGUAGGCCUCCACGCUGCAGCAGGAAACUAGGAGGGCUGCUUGACAACACUGAGGAAAAUCAAACCUGUUACUCAGUUCAGGUAGGCCUCCACGCUGCAGCAGGAAACUAGGAGGGCUGCUUGACAACACUGAGGAAAAUCAAACCUGUUACUCAGUUCAGGUAGGCCUCCACGAUGCAGCAGGAAACUAGGAGGGCUGCUUGACAACACUGAGGAAAAUCAAACCUGUUACUCAGUUCAGGUAGGCCUCCACGCUGCAGCAGGAAACUAGGAGGGCUGCUUGACAACACUGAGGAAAAUCAAACCUGUUACUCAGUUCAGGUAGGCCUCCACGCUGCAGCAGGAAACUAGGAGGGCUGCUUGACAACACUGAGGAAAAUCAAACCUGUUACUCAGUUCAGGUAGGCCUCCACGCUGCAGCAGGAAACUAGGAGGGCUGCUUGACAACACUGAGGAAAAUCAAACCUGUUACUCAGUUCAGGUAGGCCUCCACGCUGCAGCAGGAAACUAGGAGGGCUGCUUGACAACACUGAGGAAAAUCAAACCUGUUACUCAGUUCAGGUAGGCCUCCACGCUGCAGCAGGAAACUAGGAGGGCUGCUUGACAACACUGAGGAAAAUCAAACCUGUUACUCAGUUCAGGUAGGCCUCCACGCUGCAGCAGGAAACUAGGAGGGCUGCUUGACAACACUGAGGAAAAUCAAACCUGUUACUCAGUUCAGGUAGGCCUCCACGCUGCAGCAGGAAACUAGGAGGGCUGCUUGACAACACUGAGGAAAAUCAAACCUGUUACUCAGUUCAGGUAGGCCUCCACGCUGCAGCAGGAAACUAGGAGGGCUGCUUGACAACACUGAGGAAAAUCCAACAAAAAGGUUUACUUGGAAAAACUUCCCAAAAGGACUAAUUAGAGGCAGAAAGGAGUUGGAGCAUGUUCAAGUAGCUUCCUAUUGGUUCAUUCAUCCCCCCUCCUCUCCCCUGUAACUAUUCCCCAGGACGUUGCUGUAAAUGAGAAUGUGUUCUCAGUCAACUUAAGGGUUAAAUAAAAAACAAUUAAAUACAAGUAAUACAAUGUUCUCAUUCAAAAUGAACAAUGAUUGAGGAUGUUGGUGCCAGAUCUGUUUGGAAAACAUUGUUAUGCUCAUCCAGUUCCUUACCCAGGGGUCUGUGCUCCAGUUCCUUACCCAGGGGUCUGUGCUCCAGUUCCUUACCCAGGGGUCUGUGCUCCAGUUCCUUACCCAGGGGUCUGUGCUCCAGUUCCUUACCCAGGGGUCUGUGCUCCAGUUCCUUACCCAGGGGUCUGAGCUCCAGUUCCUUACCCAGGGGUCUGUGCUCCAGACUCUGGAGAUAAUAUGUUGAGUUACAGCACAUCAGACUGACUAAACAGGUGCUUGUU